UCGCGUCAAGCGCCGUAGGCAGGAGCGGGGGACCCAAGGUAGGCGCCGGGUCCGGCAGUUGAGGCCCUUCGGGGUCGGACGGCCGGAGUCGGCUUGGGGUGAAGUCGCGCACCAGGCACCAGCGGUGCGCGGCCGGGCAACUCAACCGGCCCGAACCCGACAGCUCACCUCGCAGGCGUCGGUGAGGGGAUCU
rnacentral:sRNA from 1 species